GACGAACGCUGGCGGCGCGCCUAACACAUGCAAGUCGAACGGAGCUGAGAGAAGCUUGCUUUUCUUAGCUUAGUGGCGAACGGGUGAGUAACGCGUGAGUAACCUGCCCUGGAGUGGGGGACAACAGUUGGAAACGACUGCUAAUACCGCAUAAGCCCACGAUCCGGCAUCGGCUUGAGGGAAAAGGAUUUAUUCGCUUCAGGAUGGACUCGCGUCCAAUUAGCUAGUUGGUGAGGUAACGGCCCACCAAGGCGACGAUUGGUAGCCGGACUGAGAGGUUGAACGGCCACAUUGGGACUGAGACACGGCCCAGACUCCUACGGGAGGCAGCAGUGGGGGAUAUUGCACAAUGGGGGAAACCCUGAUGCAGCGACGCCGCGUGGAGGAAGAAGGUUUUCGGAUUGUAAACUCCUGUCGUUAGGGACGAUAAUGACGGUACCUAACAAGAAAGCACCGGCUAACUACGCG
rnacentral:rRNA from 1 species